rnacentral:rRNA from 1 species
UGCCAGCCGCCGCGGUAAUACGGAGGGUGCAAGCGUUGUUCGGAUUCACUGGGUAUAAAGGGUGCGUAGGCGGCCUGUUAAGUCAGGGGUGAAAUAUGACGGCUCAACCGUCAAACUGCCCCUGAAACUGAUAGGCUUGAGUUCGAGAGAGGUUGGUGGAAUUCCUGGUGUAGCGGUGAAAUGCGUAAAUAUCAGGAGGAACACCGGUGGCGAAGGCGGCCAACUGGCUCGAUACUGACGCUCAGGCACGAAAGCAUGGGGAGCGAACGGGAUUAGAUA